rnacentral:rRNA from 1 species
CAGCAGCCGCGGGAAUACGAAGGGUGCAAGCGUUAAUCGGAAUUACUGGGCGUAAAGCGUGCGUAGGCGGUUUGUUAAGUCUGUUGUGAAAUCCCCGGGCUCAACCUGGGAAUGGCAAUGGAUACUGGCAAGCUAGAGUGUGUCAGAGGAUGGUGGAAUUCCCGGUGUAGCGGUGAAAUGCGUAGAGAUCGGGAGGAACAUCAGUGGCGAAGGCGGCCAUCUGGGACAACACUGACGCUGAGGCACGAAAGCGUGGGGAGCAAACAGGAUUAGAUACCCCAGUAGUCCCUGUCUCUUAUAA